AAAAAAUACGUAUAAAGACAAACAGUGGAAAGAAAAAAGGAAAAAAGGAAGUAUGGAAUUCAUUCGUGACCAGUGACUGUGGCAGCUGAAAGAAAUCAGGUAUGUCUCGCCUCCCCUCUCUUUUUUCU
rnacentral:ribozyme from 11 species